AUUCUUAUCUCCUUUUACCCAAAAUAAAAAGACGACUAAUAAGCCGUCUAUUUGAUAUUUAUAUUAUGGUGUGUUAAUUUAUAUAUAGAAAAAGGGCAACAUGCGCAAACAUGUUACCCUAAUGAGCCCGUUAAAAAGACGGUGGCUAUUUUAGAUUAAAGAUUAAAUUAAUAACCAUUUAACCAUCGAAACCAGCCAAAGUUAGCGAUGG
rnacentral:misc_RNA from 1 species